AGAGUUUGAUCCUGGCUCAGAACGAACGCUGGCGGCAGGCUUAACACAUGCAAGUCGAACGCACCGCAAGGUGAGUGGCAGACGGGUGAGUAACGCGUGGGAACGUGCCCUUCAGUUCGGGAUAACCCAGGGAAACUUGGGCUAAUACCGGAUACGUGCGAGAGCAGAAAGAUUCAUCGCUGAAGGAUCGGCCCGCGUCUGAUUAGCUAGUUGGUAGGGUAAUGGCCUACCAAGGCAACGAUCCGUAGCUGGUCUGAGAGGAUGAUCAGCCACACUGGGACUGAGACACGGCCCAGACUCCUACGGGAGGCAGCAGUGGGGAAUAUUGGUCAAUGGGCGCAAGCCUGAACCAGCCAUGCCGCGUGAGUGAAGAAGGCCUUAGGGUUGUAAAGCUCUUUCAGCGGGGACGAUAAUGACGGUACCCGCAGAAGAAGCCCCGGCUAACUUCGUGCCAGCAGCCGCGGUAAUACGAAGGGGGCUAGCGUUGUUCGGAAUUACUGGGCGUAAAGCGCGCGUAGGCGGGCAUUUAAGUCAGGGGUGAAAUCCCAGGGCUCAACCCUGGAACUGCCUUUGAUACUGGAUGCCUGGAGUUCGGGAGAGGUGAGUGGAAUUCCGAGUGUAGAGGUGAAAUUCGUAGAUAUUCGGAGGAACACCAGAAGCGAAGGCGGCUCACUGGCCCGAUACUGCGCUGAGGCGCGAAAGCGUGGGGAGCAAACAGGAUUAGAUACCCUAGUAGUCC
rnacentral:rRNA from 1 species